rnacentral:lncRNA from 1 species
AGGUCGCAAAACCAAAUGGAGCAAAAGUGAACCACAAAAAUUAAACAGAAAUUUAUAAAACCAUUGGUUGUAGAAUAAUAUAGAGAACAUACAAAACCGAUGCAAUUACAACAAAGAUAUCGCAAUGGGCAGUUGCGAAAACGGACAUUGAACGGUUUAAAAAGAUGGAAAAUAAAAAGUCAUGAAAAAAAAAUCAUGAGCUGGAACUACAGCUGCUAAAAAUUGAAUCCGAGGGAAUUGCAGUACCUAAUGAAGGGGGACCAAAAAUGCAGAACAAAAACAUCCAAAUUUGUCUAAAGGGCAAUUGAAUAUAAUAUUUAACAAAAUUUAUGAUUUGAAAUAGUUUUAUGUAUUUAAAUUUUGGACUUAUAUGAUCCUAUUUCUAUUGAUUUUGUCAUAUUUCUUUUGUUGUGGCUUUUUUAAAUUCCUUGUCUAAUCUUCAGUACAUUGGAUUUUUUCUUCUCUCAGUGCAUGCCCGAGAUAUGCUAUUUUCCUCUACAAUAUGCUAUUUUUCUGGUAAAUAUUUUUCUCUUAGGAUUAGCCCUCUUUACAAAAUCUGUGUUAUAAACACGUCCUAUCCAUAAGGUGUGAAGCAUGCCUGUACCACAUACGUCUGUCUCCUAAAUUGAAUGUCUCUAAAAAAAAAUUAAGAACAAAUUUAAUUAAAUAAUUGGAAACUUCAAAAACAAGCUAUAAAUUCUAGGAGAUGUACAGUUUGUCAAACUUGUUCCUAGGUUUGACACAGUUGAUUUACUGUAUCGUCUUUUUUUAAUAGGUAUGUUUUAUUGUAGAUUGUUCUCUAAAGUGUGAAAAAUAAAUGAUUCAACAAAUAGGCUGUACAGGAUAAA